rnacentral:rRNA from 1 species
UACGGGGGGAGCAAGCGUUGUUCGGAUUUACUGGGCGUAAAGGGCGCGUAGGCGGCCACCGCAAGUCGACUGUGAAAUCUCCGGGCUUAACCCGGAAAGGUCAGCCGAUACUGCGGGGCUAGAGUGCAGAAGGGGCAACUGGAAUUCUCGGUGUAGCGGUGAAAUGCGUAGAUAUCGGGAGGAACACCAGUGGCGAAGGCGACUCACUGGCCCAUUACUGACGCUGAGGCGCGAAAGCGUGGGGAGCAAACAGG